GCUAUCUCGGCGGCAGGAGCUGAGCGGGGCCUAGUCUGGGGCUGCGCCCGUCACCGGACUGAACUGAGCCCUCGACGAGGCCCGAAAGCGGACGCAGGGACGCCGCCGGCUCCGAGGUGCCCGCCAGGGGACGGGUAGGCGCCCAGCCCAGCCAGGAUGGCUUCCAGCAUCACUGAACCUUCCUCCUGUGAUACUUUUGUAGCUCUGCCUCCAGCUACACUUGGCAGUAGGAUCAUCUUUGGGAAAAAUUCUGACAGGCCCUCUGAUGAAGUCCAGGAAAUUGUCUAUUUCCCUGCUGCAGUUCAUGAGCUAGGAGAAAAGAUUGAGUGUACAUACAUAGAAAUUGACCAGGUGCCUGAGACGUAUGCAGUUGUCCUGAGUCGCCCAUCAUGGCUAUGGGGUGCUGAAAUGGGGGCCAAUGAGCAUGGAGUUUGCAUUGGGAAUGAAGCAGUGUGGGGAAAAGAAGAAGUCUGUGAUGAUGAAGCACUCCUAGGCAUGGACCUUGUCAGACUUGGACUUGAAAGAGCUGAUACUGCAGAAAAAGCUGUUGGUGUAAUUGUUGACUUGUUGGGAAAGUAUGGACAAGGUGGAAACUGUAUGGAGAGUCACAUGACAUUUACUUACCAUAAUAGUUUUCUGAUAGCAGACAGAAAGGGAGCGUGGAUACUGGAAACCUCUGGAAAGUAUUGGGCUGCAGAGAAAGUAGAAGGAGGAGUACGGAAUAUUUCCAAUCAGCUAUCGAUAACAACCAAGAUUGAUCGUGAGCAUCCAGCAAUAAGGAGUUAUGCUAGAAGCCAAGGCUGGUGGGAUGGCCAAAAAGAGUUUGAUUUUGCUGCCACAUUCUCAUAUGUAAAUACUGCCAGAAUGACUACUACAAGAGGCAGAUACUGUGAAGGCUAUAAACUACUAAAUAAACAUUCAGGCAGGAUAACUGCUGAAACAAUGAUGACAAUCCUUCGAGAUAAGGAAAGUGGCAUUAAUAUGGAAGGAGGUUUCAUGACCACUGGAAGUAUGGUUUCCAUUCUCCCUCAGGAGCCCAACCUUCCUUGCAUUCACUUCUUUACUGGGACACCAGACCCUGACAGAGCUCCCUGCUGGGACAGAGAGCUGUCAGUGGCAACUGACGAACCUGGAUACGCUUCUUCCAAGGAGAAAGUGUAUUCCCCAGACAAGUCCACUGAAGAUGUGCUGUGGCUGCCUCGGCAUCAUCUGUCUCCUCGACGUCGACAGGAACAUCUCCCUCCUAGGGAUUGAAGUUCCUGUUGGGACUCGGACGAUCGCUCCUCUGAGUACAGACAAGAUCAGCACUGGGACCAUUGUGAGCAAAUAUAUUCAGAUCGAUACCGUGUGCUGGAGAGACGUUCCACUUUGGAGGAGGUUAAGCUAUCCUCUUACGGUGCCUGGCGCCGGGACUUGGGGACAUAUGAACAUUACCCAGUGUGGACUAUCGUUUGGACUACUUGAACUACGCUAGACCCCGUUACGGUUCUUGAUACCUGGAGGGCCCCACGUGCGGGAAACCCAGAAUUGGCUGGGAUCUGUGUGUGCCCCCCUCAUACUUGGAGGGGAGGCCUUGCUCUUGAUCCCCGCAGCACUCCCCUCGAGAUCGGCCGGAGUGACACAAUUCCCACUCUGCAACUCUGGUUCUGCAACAGCCAUCGCUUCCUGUUCAGGUGCUGUCAGCGGAACCCACCCCCUCAGUCCUGGAUGUUAUUGGAAGCAAGCAAGAGUCUCCUAUGAUUUCGAUAGCCUUGGCCCAGGAUUCUCCCGAAUCAGACUGUGAAAGUGAUCCUAGUUCUCCGGGGAUCAUCCCCUUUGGACAUACAAUUGGAUUUGAAACCCGUUUCUCCGUCGGAGGACUACAAGCAGUACUCCGUGUAUGUGGCCCAUAUGGCUUCUGCCCUGGGAGUGAGCCUCGGUACGGAACAGAAAGGGGAAUUGGAUCCCUUGUUCAGCCUCAUCGAUUUGGAAGCCAAGGUACCGGCCAUUUUACCCUUUAACCCGGCCUGUUGGGGUCAUGAGGGGUCGUUGGAAAAAGCCUGCGACCCUUUCGCAACCCAGUAGACAGUUGGAGAACAUCUAUAGGGUGCAAGCACAGGUUGAUACAGCUUUCCUAAAGAAUCAUCUCACCCCUAUUUCUAUUGUAGUUGAGGCGUUUCUGUAGAAGACCAGGAGUCACAGCCAAUCAAUCCUGGGUGACAAGGAGGGCAGAAAGUUGGACUCCUUCGGGAGGAGGCUUUACUUGGCCUCGGCUCUCCAAUUACGAGUGGCCAACUCUCAGGCCUACAAUGCCCAUCAUAACUACUUUCUGUGGGAGAAGGUGGCCCCCUUUUUGGAUCUGCUGCCACAGGACAAGUGUGAUCCAGCGAAGGCGUUCCUCUGAGAGGCGAUACAAGUGGCAAAGCAAUAACUCUACUUGGCUAGACACUUGGUGGAGUGUGCAGCCAAGGUGAUGGCCAUGUGUGUGGCUCUCUGGCGGCAUGCCUGGCUGCGGUCAUCUGGAUUUACUUACGAGGCCCAUGCUAGAGUCGAGGACCUUCCCUUUGAAAGUUCUAGCCUAUUUGUGGAACAGACGGAUGACAGGCUUCAAAAUGUCCAGAAGCUGAGGAGCACGGCGAGGUCCAUGUCCUAUGCUUCUUUGACCCCCAAGCCACAGAAGUCUUCUAGGUGGUUCCCGUAUCGACAACAGAAGUCUCCUUCUCAACAGCAACCUUCAUCCGAACAUUCCUUUCGUGGCAACAAGUAUCAGUCCCGUUACAAGUCAGGCCCUUAGCCUACCAAGCCAGCCUUUCAAAAACAGUGCCUGAACACCUUUCCAAAGAAACAAUGACUUGGGGAGCUUUUGGAUUCGCCUGGUCCCAUUUUUGGCGAGCUGGGACAUGGUGACCACGGACCAAUGGGUCCUCAUGGUCAUAUAUUUGGGCGACGCCCUCGAGUUCUGCAGGAUGCCACCCAUUUCUGGGGCCUUACAAAGCCUUGCUGUUUGGCCUCACGACAGCGCCGAGGGUUUUUACAAAAUGCCUAGCCCCGGUGGUAGAUUUCCUGCAGGAACAAAGGUUACAGAUCCUGCCAUAUUUGGACGAUUAACAAAAACAAACCGUGAACAAAGUGAAAUCCAAUCAAAAAGGUCGAUCUUUAAACCAUUCAUUUUUGUACCAAAUAUUACCCAGCUGGUAAAAACCAGCUCCCCAGUGUUUGGUCCAGAGGAUCCAGUUAAAAAGAAACCACGAUUUCAGACUCAGCCAGACAGAAGACAUGAAC